ACGAACGCUGGCGGCGUGCUUAACACAUGCCAGUCGAACGGAAAGGCCCUGCUUUUGUGGGGUGCUCGAGUGGCGAACGGGUGAGUAACACGUGAGUAACCUGCCCUUGACUUUGGGAUAACUUCAGGAAACUGGGGCUAAUACCGGAUAGGAGCUCCUGCUGCAUGGUGGGGGUUGGAAAGUUUCGGCGGUUGGGGAUGGACUCGCGGCUUAUCAGCUUGUUGGUGGGGUAGUGGCUUACCAAGGCUUUGACGGGUGGCCGGCCUGAGAGGGUGACCGGCCACAUUGGGACUGAGAUACGGCCCAGACUCCUACGGGAGGCAGCAGUGGGGAAUAUUGCACAAUGGGCGGAAGCCUGAUGCAGCAACGCCGCGUGCGGGAUGACGGCCUUCGGGUUGUAAACCGCUUUCGCCUGUGACGAAGCGUGAGUGACGGUAAUGGGUAAAGAAGCACCGGCUAACUACGUG
rnacentral:rRNA from 1 species